GGACAAUGACGAUGCAAUUUUGGUCUCGUUCGUCAUAAUAUAAAUUGCUGACAACUCUGUUAUAUCACCACCCAUAAACUGAGUCC
rnacentral:snoRNA from 1 species